UGGGGAAUAUUGCACAAUGGGGGAAACCCUGAUGCAGCGACGCCGCGUGAAGGAAGAAGUAUCUCGGUAUGUAAACUUCUAUCAGCAGGGAAGAAAAUGACGGUACCUGACUAAGAAGCCCCGGCUAACUACGUGCCAGCAGCCGCGGUAAUACGUAGGGGGCAAGCGUUAUCCGGAUUUACUGGGUGUAAAGGGAGCGUAGACGGAAGAGCAAGUCUGAUGUGAAAGGCUGGGGCGUAACCCCAGGACUGCAUUGGAAACUGUUGUUCUAGAGUGCCGGAGAGGUAAGCGGAAUUCCUAGUGUAGCGGUGAAAUGCGUAGAUAUUAGGAGGAACACCAGUGGCGAAGGCGGCUUACUGGACGGUAACUGACGUUGAGGCUCGAAAGCGUGGGGAGCAAACA
rnacentral:rRNA from 1 species